AACGAACGCUGGCGGCAUGCCUAACACAUGCAAGUCGAACGAUUGCCUUCGGGUGAUAGUGGCGCACGGGUGCGUAACGCGUGGGAAUCUGCCCUUAGGUUCGGAAUAACAGCUGGAAACGGCUGCUAAUACCGGAUGAUAUCGCGAGAUCAAAGAUUUAUCGCCUGAGGAUGAGCCCGCGUUGGAUUACGUAGUUGGUGGGGUAAAGGCCUACCAAGCCGACGAUCCAUAGCUGGUCUGAGAGGAUGAUCAGCCACGCUGGGACUGAGACACGGCCCAGACUCCUACGGGAGGCAGCAGUGGGGAAUAUUGGACAAUGGGCGCAAGCCUGAUCCAGCAAUGCCGCGUGAGUGAUGAAGGCCCUAGGGUUGUAAAGCUCUUUUACCCGGGAAGAUAAUGACUGUACCGGGAGAAUAAGCCCCGGCUAACUCCGUG
rnacentral:rRNA from 1 species